UACAGAGAGGUUAAUAAUUUGAGCUCCAUACCAUUAUAACUUUUAGAUCCUUCUUCAUCAAUACAUUAAACAGGAAAAAGAUUUUUCUCUCUUGCUGUUGGGAAGUGAAUUACAUUGAGAUCUUUGGCACAUAUAUGCUAAUGGCUGUGGAAGUGCUGGCUCUGUCCUAAGCCGAUAUUCCUCUGGGGUCUCUUCCAAAGGCUGGAGUUUUCCUCACUGCCGCUGCAAUGGUGGCAUUUCCUUGCAGCCAGGCUGGGCUCCUAACAUGGAUGUUGCUGCUGCCACUGCUGCUGUUGUCCUCAUCUGAAGUUCAAAACAAGGACAAGCCCAGCUGGUGAAGGGGAACAGGCAUGUACAGACAGCUGGGAACAGCUCACAAAGCAGCUGUACACUGCACAGCAACUCUUUGAAGGAUUUACACAGCCCUAUAAUGGAGAUAGGGGAUGCGGUGGCGCUGCGGGUUAAACCGCUGAGCUUGCCGAUCGGAAGGUCGGCAGUUCGAAUCCGCAUGACGGGGUGAGCUCCCAUUGCUAGUCCCAGCUCCUGCCAACCAAGCAGUUCGAAAACAUGCAAAUGUGAGUAGAUUGAUAGGUACCGCUUCAACGGGCAGGUAACGGCGUCCGUUUAGUCAUGCCGGCCACAUGACCACGGAAGUUGUUGAGGUUUUCCUACUAACGAUUAAGACUGCUAUUGUACCUAAUCAUUUUGGCCGGGUGAAGAGGUUGUAUUUGAUUGUCUCCUUUCACGUGCUUCAUGCAAAUCGCCUGGGGAGAGGAUCCUGCCCAGACUUGUUUCUUACUUCCUCUUUUUCUCUCUGCUGAUAUGUAGCAAGCCAGGAGAGCUAAGUCCUUUAAAUAUGUUUUGCUUUUUGUAAAUAAAUUAUUUUUAUAGAUAUGCCUGGUGUGUGUGACUUUUCUGAUCUCUCCUGGGCUAAAGGCUUUCCCAGCAUUCUGCCAACAGAAGUGUCUACGGACAAACGCCGGCUCUUCGGCUUUGAAACAGAGAUGAGCACCACCCCCUAGAGUCAGACACAACUGGACUUAAUGUCAAGGGAAACCUUUACCUUUACCUACAAUGGAGAUGGAGAGAGAUAAUGCUAUUUCAUUUGCAGACCUACGAUUAGACUAGGAAGUCAUUCCCAUCCAAGAUGGGAGAGUGGAAGAUGUGUUUCAAGCUUCGUAUCCGUAUAACAGUCGCAUAUCAUUUCGGUGCAAUUCUGGCUACACUUUGGUAGGGGCUGCUUUUGUUAAAUGUGAUGCUGAUAGUACAUGGAAUCCUCCUGUUCCAAGCUGUGUUGAACGUGUAGCCCCCACCCCUACCAAACCAGCCAGACCCCCCACACCUGCUGUUCCUCCUACCCCCCCAAUUCCCCCUAUGCCUGGCACUGUUCCUCCAGAAGACGAUGAGGCUAAAGGUGAGUCAUAACGUGAUUGGACAGCUAACCGCAGCCCCGUUUCAGGGUUCAGGGGAUUUGGCCUUGAAGGAAAGACGCUGGUGCCCUGCAGCCACGUCCACGUUUUCUAACUGCUUUCCGUCCUUUUCUUCUAGUGCAGCUUUCGUACAGAAUGGCUUGCAGCUGUGAGGUUGUGGGUCCAUGAGGAAUAGCUUUCAUUUCCUUUAACAACAGACUAUCAUGUGGUAUUUCUUUGCAUUUUGAAAGAGGUAUGACAUGAGUUGAUGUCUGAGGAAUGCAGAUGUAAAUCUCCCUUUUGCCCGUGGAACAAAUAUGGCCCCCUGCGAAACACUGAGUGUAACGAAAUUAUCCCGCAGCGCUAUUGAAUCCAGUUUACUAUCACCAUGGUUGUAAGUGCAGUGUGCAAUUUUUAAAAGAGAAGUUCUUGGUUCAUGCAUCUUUUUUCUAGAUUUAGAUGGUAUGGGAUUUAAAAAUACUCAUUUUGUGAUAUCAUUUGCACUAGUGCAGAAAGGCACUAGUCUGACUAGAAAAUUUAAGUAUAUCCCAAAUAAUUCUUAUUUAAGAAAGCAAGUUCUUCUUGCUUGAGGUUUGUGAAAAACUUUGAAAGUUUUUAGGGAGUAUCUGCGGAAAUGUUGGGAGUCAAAUAGAAUCCUUGAAAGAAUUUCUGGUGAAGAACCCUUUAAUGAGAUACAUUUUUGAGUAUACAUGUAUGAUAUCCAGAAAUAGGAAUAGUUUAUGUUAAAGUGAAUAUAUGUGUCUUUUACAAUGUGCAUAACAGAUACUGAAUGAUAUUCUCAGUCUGUGGGCAUGCCUAGAGUGAGCCAAUACUAUUUAGAGCAGAUAUCUCAGGUAACCACAUAGGAUUUUAUAACCAGCAGCUUUUAUAUCUUGUAUAGAUGUUGACAAAUCCUGAAUGUUACCCAGAGGUACAAAUGGGUUAACCAAUCCCUGCCUCCUACAAUGUACUCCACCUCCUAAAGCCCAAAUUCUAAGAGUGUUUCUCAAAGUUAAGUACAAGAGGAAUGGAAAUUGGAGAAGAGCAAAUAUAAAUCUUUAUUUUGGCAAUGGAACAAGCACAAAUUCGAGAUACUUCUGAGAUACAGGCUCAGCUAAUUUGAGCCAGGAAUAUGACAUUCCUUACCUUAUGACAAAUAAAAGACAUUUUAUUUGUUUGUUUCUUUAUAAUUUCAAUUUAUAUGGCUGCCCCAAUUCAAAAAUGUUCCACUGUUUAGUUAGAGUUGUGCACUAUGUUGUCUUUCUAAGUGAUCAAAUAUUAUUUCCUUUUUUAAACAGAAAAGCCCCUUGAAGAUCGGUUGGAUAAGAUUGAAAAAACACUGGAUUUAAUUCUGCAGAAACUCAUCCUGCAACUAAUGGGAUAGAGAGUUGGCUAAUGAUGGUUGCCACAGAACAUUAUUUCUUUAAUAUUCUCUAAAUGUAGGCUUAGAUAUGUAAUCCAGGGGGUUGCAAUGAGAUUGGGAAAAUGAUCACCCUUUAAAAAAAAUGUUAGCACAGAAGACAAAAUAAACCUAGCACAUAUACCAAAUUGCUUAAACUAAUAUUCAUGCCAGAUUCACAAAUAAACCAUCAUCUUAUCAACGUAGAUCUUUACUGCAGGCUAGAGGAAACCAUGCAAAAUAAUUGAUUGCCCACUGCUAGUGAGAAUGCACAAAUUACUUUUAAUAUCCACUGUAUUUUAACUCAUUUUUUUCCUUUUGCCCUUCCAUGAAUAGAUAGAGCCUUUAUGCAAUGUUUGGUAACUUUGAGACCAAGCGGUUACAGAUAGUCCUCGUGUAAUGACGGAAAUUGGUUCCAGCAAAAUGGCUGCUGAGUGAAGCACAUGACUGAGAGAGACACUCUGAAGAUCGCUGGUUGCUGCCAUCUUAUUCAGAUAAAGUUGUCUUGUACAGUGUCCUGUGCCUGACCCAUUUCCCCCCCCCCCCAUUUUUGCCCUUUUGCAGGUGGAGAGAUUGCCUAAACAAGCUAUCUCUUCCUGCACUGCUUUUCUCUGCAGUGCAGCAGGUCCCUAAAAAGUGCUAACCGCAAGUUAACAAGCUCUGUGACCUUAAUUAGUUGAUUAGAACCCUCCUGAACUGCUUCCUGAAAACUGACCAGACCUUAACUGGUUUCACACCAAAGUCUUUUGUUGUCAUAAAUAUGUGCAUUGGUUGGCAAAUGAAUUUUUGUUUCCAUUUAUUACCAUCAUAUUGUGGUGGACUUUGGCAGUGCCGCUGGUUCUCAGGAAGAAGGGAACACAUUCCAAGGAGGUGGAGGAGAUAAGCGGAGGCACAGCCCAGGAGGCAAUGGUGGGCAAACGAAGAGGUCCAGAACAGCCCCGCCCUAGAGCCUUCCCAGGUUAUUUCCCCUUAGGUUAGGUAGAGUAGCUUUUGUCUGGCAAGAUUCUGUCUAUACAGUAUAAGCAAAUAAAGAACCAAAGUCUGAA